AUAUAAUGGCAAUAUUUUGCCGGACGGUGAGCCAGGACGGCAUGUACAUCCGACGCCGUCGCAAGAUCGCGUCAGAGCCGUGGCUCGGGUCGUCAUCGACGUCCUGAUCCGUGGACCAGAUUACGUUAACGACGUCAUUUGGUUGGAGUAAAUGCAGAUAUGGGUGGGUGGAUGGAGCUGUCUCGUACCUCUGCCGGCUGCGGGUCUGGUUCUAUCGUCUCGGCGGCGGAACCACGAUCUCUUUUUGGGUAGUGUCUUGCGAGCGUGUCGCCGGUGGAACCUGGAUCUCUUGAGGGUUACGGUCUCUCGGCUCCACCGCCCAAUGGAGUUCUUGUUGCAGCCGGUCAACAUCAGAACUCUCAGAGAGGAAGUAACUGACAGAGAGAGACCCAUGGCGCCUCUCCAUUAUCCUGUUUUGUCGCCGCCGGGCGUCCAAGUGCCAGCUGAGAGUGCCUCUAGUGCAGACACGAAGAUGUGUGCGGCGGCGGCGGAGAGGCAGGGAGUGCAGAUAAGGCGCAGGUAUCUGAACACUCCAUAGAGCAGAUUGAUCCAAAGAUUCCUGGCUGGACACGAAGGGUCAGGAUUGGUGCUGCACCAGGAGUAUAAUAAUCGACUGUUCUGCAAUUUCAAUUAGCUGUUGAACACACGUUUGAUCGUUCAAUCCAUAUACUCUUUUGCAGACAAGGCCGGAAGGUUACAUGGAGCAGCGCAUCUGGAUGUGGCACCCUUUGAUGGCAGCAACCGCACAUUCGCUGUUCGCUCGUUCAACAGUUACUAAUGAAGAUGAUACACCGAAUGCAAAUGAAGGGGCCACGCCAAAUGGUCCGGAGAAUCAAGAAGCUGGACCCAGCGGUAGUGCGCUGGGUACUACCAUUCAAGAUCACAGCCAAGUUGCCGGCAGGCAGGGAUGUGAUAGAGUUAGAGGGUACAGAGCCAAAUGCUGAUGCGCUAACUGUCGUCACAGUAGAUGCCAAUCAAGUAGUUCAACCCAAUGGGAGUGCGUUGGAUAAUAGCGGUCAAGAUGGCGUUCAAGUUAGCAGCACAGAUGUGAUAGUGUUAGAAGAUACCGAGCCAAAAUGCUGGCACACGGACUAUCAUCGAGAUAGAUGCGAAUCAACUUAUCAGCCAAGUUGGUUUACACAAUGCAGACAGGGAUCCAAGUGCUGGCACACUGACUUUUAGGAUGUAAAAUUGUCCUCUGAACCGAGCAAUGAGUGAACUGGAUACCUAUGUUGAAUAUGGUUAGCAUAGAAAUAUUCAUGAUGUACCAUCAUUUGCUAAAAAAAAUACUUAGAGCAUGUACCUCAUUACUUUCACUUGAUCUAGUUCUGAUGUGGUUCUUACAAUGCAAUUCCUGAUGAUGGGGAUGCGGGGUACGACACUGACUCAGAAGAUGAUCCACAGAUACUUGCAGCAAUAGAUGAUGCAGACAUGGUACGGGUGGGGUGGCUCGGCUGGGUAGGAUGCAGCAGCAGAUCUGGAGGAGGGGAUCAGUGGAUGGAGUCGAUUAGAGCAUCUACAACCAGGCGGCUCUGACGGCAGUCCUCCGUGAAAGCGAGGAGGAGGAGCGACGCAAGGAGGAGGAGGAUGAGGCAGCGGAGGAGGAUUACCAGGCGCGCAUGGCGGAGGCCAUGGCGUUCUCCGCGGCCUGCGACUACGUUGUGCCGCCGUAGAGGCCGUCGUCCCUCGCCAAGGCCGAGCCAUUGCCGAUCCCCCUCGAGCGCUACUCAUGGACCGGAGUGGUGCUCGAGUGGGUCAGCGCGCCUCUAGUCUAGUUGGGGGCGACACCGGCGCAGGAGCAGGCCUACCUCGAGCAGUGGCGGCAGCGAAGGCUGGCCGAGGAGGACCGCGAGGACGAGUACCUCGAGCAGCUCGAGCACAACGCGGAGGAGGAGCGCCACAAGGUGAAGGAGGAGAAGCGCCUUGCCCGCGGUGGGCCAGUCCAGCCCGUGGCGGACGACGUCGCUAGAGCGUGGUCGAUGGCGUUCCCUUGGGCUGGCCCGGCGCCGGCACUGAUCGACCUCACCGGCCCCGACGACGACGACGAGAACGCCUAGGGCAGCGUGCCUUCUGGUACUUUUAAGUUUUAUUUAAUGUUUUAGUUAAUGUAAACAUGGACUCGUGGACUCCACGGCCUUUGUGACCGGCAUUAAUGUUUAAUUAACGUUUUUAAUUUUUAAAA